UACAGAGGGUGCAAGCGUUAAUCGGAAUUACUGGGCGUAAAGCGAGCGUAGUCGGUUAUUUAAGUCGGGUGUGAAAGCCCCGGGCUCAACCUGGGAAUUGCAUUCGAUACUGGAUAGCUAGAGUUCGGCAGAGGGAAGCGGAAUUUCCGGUGUAGCGGUGAAAUGCGUAGAUAUCGGAAGGAACAUCAGUGGCGAAGGCG
rnacentral:rRNA from 1 species